rnacentral:rRNA from 1 species
GAAGAACCUUACCAGCUCUUGACAUUCGGGGUUUGGGCAGUGGAGACAUUGUCCUUCAGUUAGGCUGGCCCCAGAACAGGUGCUGCAUGGCUGUCGUCAGCUCGUGUCGUGAGAUGUUGGGUUAAGUCCCGCAACGAGCGCAACCCUCGCCCUUAGUUGCCAGCAUUUGGUUGGGCACUCUAAGGGGACUGCCGGUGAUAAGCCGAGAGGAAGGUGGGGAUGACGUCAAGUCCUCAUGGCCCUUACGGGCUGGGCUACACCCGUGCUACAAUGGUGGUGACAGUGGGCAGCGAGACAGCGAUGUCGAGCUAAUCUCCAAAAGCCAUCUCAGUUCGGAUUGCACUCUGCAACUCGAGUGCUGAAGUGGAAUCGC